rnacentral:ncRNA from 2 species
UAGGACUACCCGCUGAACUUAAGC